CCGGGAGGGGGGGGGGGCGAGAUUGGUGCAGAAAAGAGGAAGAGGUUAUCUGAGCUCCAUGGCGCAGGACGUCUAUCACGGAAGGAGACGCUUCCUGCUCAGCAACUGCAGCUGACACAAGCAGGAAAUAUGAGCUCCAUGGUGGCCGGUCGACUGUCAGCGGUGUGUGGCCGUCCUUUAACCCCGUGGUGAGAGCUGCCAGGCGGGCGGCCAGCUGAAGCAGCAGAUGCACCAGGGUGACCGUCACCAGCAGAGCAGGUGAGUAGGACAGGCCGCCGACGCCGCUGCCUUCCUUGGGCUUCUCAGUUGGCUUUUUGCCCUCACUGGUUCCUGA